AUUGAACGCUGGCGGCAGGCCUAACACAUGCAAGUCGAACGAGUGGCGGACGGGUGAGUAAUGUCUGGGAAACUGCCCGAUGGAGGGGGAUAACUACUGGAAACGGUAGCUAAUACCGCAUACCAUCGGAUGUGCCCAGAUGGGAUUGGCUAGUAGGUGGGGUAACGGCUAACCUAGGCGACGAUCCCUAGCUGGUCUGAGAGGAUGACCAGCCACACUGGAACUGAGGCACGGUCCAGACUCCUACGGGAGGAAGCAGGGGGGAAGAUUGCACAAUGGGAGAAAGCCGGAUGCAGCCAUGCCGCGGGGAUGAAGAAGGCCUGCGGGUUGUAAAGUACUGUCAGCGAGGAGGCGUUACGCGCAGAAGAAGCACCGGCUAACUCCGUGCCAGCAGCCGCGGUAAUAC
rnacentral:rRNA from 1 species